rfam:Theobroma cacao cultivar Matina 1-6 chromosome 6, whole genome shotgun sequence.
AGACCAUGAUGAGGACAACGUCAAAGUAAUUUUUUGUAUCUUUCCCAAGCUUCAUACAAUGAUUGAGAAUCUUGCUGCAUGAAUGAUGUGAUAUCAUUCCUCAUUUC